rnacentral:rRNA from 1 species
UAUUGGGCAAUGGGCGAAAGCCUGAUCCAGCCAUGCCGCGUGUGUGAAGAAGGUCUUCGUAUUGUAAAGCACUUUAAGAUGGGAGGAAGGGUUGUAGAUUAAUACUCUGCAAUUUUGACGUUACCGACAGAAUAAGCACCGGCUAACUCUGUGCCAGCAGCCGCGGUAAUACAGAGGGUGCAAGCGUUAAUCGUAAUUACUGGGCGUAAAGCGCGCGUAGGUGGUUUGUUAAGUUGGAUGUGAAAGCCCCGGGCUCAACCGGGGAACUGCAUUCAAAACUGACAAGCUAGAGUAUGGUAGAGGGUGGUGGAAUUUCCUGUGUAGCGGUGAAAUGCGUAGAUAUAGGAAGGAACACCAGUGGCGAAGGCGACCACCUGGACUGAUACUGACACUGAGGUGCGAAAGCGUGGGGAGCAAACAGG